AGCUGGGGACACAGAAGACAUUUCCUGACAUGCACAAUUCUGCCAUAAGUGGCUAUGUCAUGAGGCUGGUGUCAGGAUGCUUGGGAGGGCUCCCUCUCCCUCCUUGCUCCCCUCCUACUCAUUCCACGUGGCUUUAUGUUUUUCCUUUCUCUUGCGUCCUUUUUCCUUACUCCUCAUUUACCUUUACCCCGCCUUUCUUUUCCUUUUCCUUUCUACCUACCCAUCCUAAUUCCCAUGACUUAGGAAGGUUGGGGGAUCCCGUAACUGAGGAGGGACUAGGUCGGCAGAAGGGGAAGCCCUACUGAGUUGACUGUGGGCUCAGCCUACCUCGCCCGAUUUCAUGCUCAUCAUCACUCUGUCGGCAGAUUUUUCUUGUUCCUCCUUUGCAGAUGAGAAAUCUGGGGCUGGAGAGAUCAAAGGAUGUUUCCGAAAUCACACAUCUAGGCCAAAACCACACGUCACCAGGCCACUCUCGGAGCGCCAACUACACACCAGGUCCUGCGCGAGCCCUGGAGGGUGAAGAUACACAUGCCAUUUUCUGUCAAGCUCUCCUACUCCGGCAGCAGCCGAGCGCCUGUGAUUCUGCUGUGAUUCUUCGUAACACGCUGCUGGGCAUGAUCAAAUCACAGGUUGGGCAGAAACAUACAAAAUAAAAGUGGGUGGCAGUUACAGAUGAAGCAAGAAUGGGAAAAUGUUGGUGCCUGUUGAAGUUGAGUGAUGGGUAUCUCGAGAUGUAUUGUACUGCUUUGUUAUGCCUGGUUAAUGUUUGAAAACGCCGUGUUAAGUGGCUCCUAAUUAUGUCUUCUCAAAACAGACAACCACCCCACCCCCAGCCCCGGAGAAUCCCUUCUGGGAAGUUAAGACUCCUAAGUACAGACACCUUCCCAAAACAGAUUUGUCCCUGUAAGCCCUUGUUCUUGCAUAGGGUUGUCUGGGUAAAAAUGGCCCUAGUUUGGAAAGGAGGAGCCAAAUCACAGGAACAACAUAUACCCCAGCUGUUUGUGGGCACAGGCAGGACAAUCACGUGGACUGAGAAGCCUCUGUCCGCCUGGGACAUCAUGGAGUGCAUUAUCCUCUGUUUUAUAAGCCUUCUGUGAUACACGCACUAUUUAUCACGAUUGUUUAGAAGACACUAGAAAAAAUUAUGAUCCUCCCAGACCCAUGAACCUUUGUUCUUUUGUCUUACAGGAAACCAUUCUCUUCAACAUCAGAGUCUCCAUUUCUGAGAAGGCAAUAGAAUAAUCAAUUUCCUACAAUGUUGCUUUGCACAGGAAAGAGCUUGAUUGAAAACCAAAGCCACUGAUUGUAUCUCCCGUCUACUCUGAGGAGGCUUUUCGUCCUGGUUCUUUGAGAUCUUGGCCAUGAUGGCUUGUUGGCAGAUGGGUCCAUCUCUAUAUUGGGCGUGGUAAAAGGCAGGGUCCUGAGUUAAUGGCACAUCUCUUCCCACCCCAGAAGUGACCAUGUAACAAUCUCAGAUAGCCGCUCCUCUGGUUCUUUCUGGAUUUAGAAACUUGUGUGAGCUGCGGACGUGCUGCUUCUCCUGCAUGUAUAAUCUGGAUCCCGAGUGUGACCAAAACCCGGCUCUGCUGGUGGGUGAAAUCUGUUAGGCUGUGGGGAACGUGGGGUGAUUGUACCAAUCUGUCAGUUCAGUGCUUUUCCCUGAGUACAUUCUACAUGCUGAGGCUUGUGCGAGGAGCCUGGGAGAAACAGAGGGGAACGUGAUCGUGUCCUUUCAUGUGGGAGCCAGGGAGACAAACAACGUAAUUUAAACUGAACGUAUUCCAAAGCAAGAUUCUCUCAUUUUACCCAAAAACUCACACCUAUUUCUGUGAAUGAUCCCAUUCACCCCCCACCCCCUGCCCCCAUCACUCUUACCAGAGACAUGGGAUUCAUCCUAGAUUGUUUCCUCCUUCCCACCCUCCCACACCCCAUAUAACAUCCUAAAUCUUCUAGAUUAUUCUUCUGCUCCUCCUUUCCCAUCUCAUGAGCUCUACCGCAUUGGCUGUCUUGCAUGACCUCCCUCCCGAGUUUCCCUGGGCCACCCCUUCCCAGAUGACAGAUCAUUGACAGGUUUACUUUUGAAAACCUGUCAAUGGCUUUCCAUCUCCUUUCAGGUCAAGCCUGUCAAUCAUCUGAAAACCAGGUGCUUCCCAAGAUGCUGACUCACGAGACAUUUCCCAUCCAGUUUCCCACCGUUUUCCUUUGGGAGUCGCCCAGCCAGGUUUUUUUUUCUCCUUCUGGGAUUCCAUUCCAUUUUCCUGAUGGCCCCCCUUCUCCCUGACUUAUAUUCUGUCUGACACGUAUCUCCCCCUAUUUAAAUGCUACCCAUGCUUCCUGCUUACUCAAAUGCCACCUCCUACACGAAGCCUUGCCUGAUCUCCCAGUCUGAAGUCACUUUUCAUCUCCAAAUCUCUCAGAGAAGCAUUGUGGCUAGACCAAUGCUUGAGAUACCACAGGCUUGGACUUGAAAUUUGAUUACGCCACUAAAUAACCAGGUGCUAUUAGGGAGUCAAACUCUCCAAGCCCCAGUCUUUCUGCCAGUGAAAUGGGGACCAAUCAUUCCUCAUAUUUUUGUUGUGAGGAUGAGAAACUAUGGUCUUAGCACAAUGCCCAUAGCACGUGUUUGCUAAAGGGGGGGUAUCCUUAACAUCGUUCAUGGCCAUUAUUAUGCUCUGUCUUUAAGUUGUGUGGGCAUUGGCCAAAACUCCCACACUCUGAAGCGAAGUGGGUGAGGGUGAUGGGUGAGGGCUGCAUUUACCGUACGGUGGGGGUCUGCUCUGGCGGCCGAGGGCACGGAGCGGUCAGGUCACGGAAUGCAGCAGGCUCGGGGCCGACACUACCAAAGCCCCUAGGCCCCGCAAGGACCAGCUUGUUUCAUUAAAACAAAGGGAAGGGUUUCCUUGGAAAUCCUAUUUUUCCCCAGAUUUCCCUCUUGGCUGCUUCUGUGGCCACACAUGUUUCCGAUGAGUCCACAUUCAAAUGAAUUUCAGCCGACAAAUAACUCGAUACAGCUCUUUGGUGGGAGAGAAUUCCUUCGGGAUGAGGUCGUGGUUUGGCUACAGUAAAAUUAAAAAUAACCCAGAACCCCCCGCCGCCCAGGCUGGCAUCAAACCAGGACAGUGCAUUUGGGAACCAUUAUCGGGUUUAUCGGGGUAACAUAUCGCAGAAAACCUGCUUCUGUUUAUAGACCAUUUUAUUAUUCCGUUUUGACAUUUCCCUUUUUUCUUCAACCUUUUUCCCCCUUAAGCAAAUAUCUAUUAGACUGAAUUGAAAUGUGAUCCAACCAAAUAUACUGUUUUUCAACUUCAGGCUAAAGCAGGUCUGACUAGAAGCAGAAACGCUUAAGUGAAAAGUUAUGAUUUACUUUCUUUCUAAAGGGAAACAGUGUCAGAAGGAGAAUUUUAUGUGACAAGGGAGCUUGUGGAGCACGGAGCAGGGGGCUGGCGGCUGACGGGGGGGCCUGGGAAAGCCCUGGAGCUUAGAAGGCCAGGAACGACCCUGCCCGAGCACCCCCGGGGGGAACACUGGGAAGAGUGCACAGGCAGAACCUGGUUUUUCCAAAUCGGCAAAAUCCCCAGAUUGGACGGUACGUAUGUGAAGGGUCACAUCAGGAAGAAAACCUAGAGAUGGUUGACCUCCCUCCACCCCUGUUAUCUUACUAUUGGGUAAACUGAGGCCCACAAGGCUGCAAUGACUCGCCCAAGGUAACUACACUGAGCUCUGGAGCUCAGCACAUGUGAGUUUGAGGACCAGCUCUACCACAAGACCCUGGGCAAGAGACUCAACUUUCUUGUGUCUCAAGUCCAUUGUCUAUGAAAUGGGGUGAUGACUGUGCCCUGCCUAUGUCAGACAGUGAUGGAAAGACCCAAUGGAGAAACAGCCAAUAGAGCAAUUACUUCCUGAGUGCUUUUUCUGUCCUGUGCGCCGUCCCAACCCUUCACACACCCACCUGCUACUCACAGCAAUCCUACCAGGUAGAUUCCAGGAUGGUCCCAAUCCUGAAGAUAAGAGAGCUGUGUGAGGCUCAGAUAAGUUCAGUGACACGACCACAGUCAGGUCGUUGGAGGACAGUAGAUGCUUGAUUUGAACCAGGAGCAGAUUCUGAUACGAGAGUCUGUGCUCUUGACCUUGACGUGAGCGGGUCUCUGUGACCCCUUAAAUCAGAAGCCCGAUUCAAGGGUGAAAUGUGAAGUCCAUGCUCAGCCGGGACAGAAGCCCAGGUCUUCUGAGUCUUGACCCUUUCUCCUGUGUCCUUUGCCAGGGCCCGAACUGUCCAGCUUCCAUCUCCAACUGGGGAGAAGGCCAGGCUGCUUUCCUGCCCUUGUUGUCAGGCCCGGAGCAACAGAUGAAAUGAUGGAAUGGAAAGGUGAUCUGGACUCUCCGCGAACGCAGCAAAGUACAGACCCGGAAGGAAUGUGUGCUGGCGAGUGCUGGGGGCUCCAGAGGCGGGCCUUCCCUGAAGGCUGACACGCGUAACAGCAUUUCCUGGCUCCCCCAGUGGAAGGCCGUGGGUUUGGUAGGAAGAAUUCAUGUGGCAUCCAAAAAUCUCAUUGGAACUCCAACGCUACUGUUUGUUAGCUGUGGGGGCUCCGGAUCGGUCAACAUCUUUGAACCACAAUUUCUUCAUCCUUUGAAUGAAGUUAAUAAUGGGAGGGGUGAAAUAAGGUUAUAAACAUAAAGGUGACUUGGCAAAAUGUAAAGACCAUAUAAAAUGUUACCUGUUGUCAUACUAAUUGAUGCUAUUGUGCCAAAUAUCAAUUUAUUGCCUGUUAGCUCCAAAUUCACCUGUUGCUGCUUGCUCUGUGAUGAUGAAGGACCCUGGAAAUAUUUUCCCUUUGUCAGCUCAUGCAAUGUUUAGCUUUUCCAGCAGAGGGCGCAGAAGGGACAGGUCAAGAAGAAGGGACUUCACUCUGGUGGGCUGCUUCCUCCUCCUACCAUUCUGCUGCCAGGGUCACAUUUAGGGGCAUCUAGUGGGGCUCCCCCUAUCAAGUUGUGGUGGCCACCCUAUGGACAAUUUCCCUUCGACUUUCAGUGCCACCUCUAAGGGCUCACAGGCUCUCCAGCGGCCAGCUCCCAGCUUUGCCUGCAUCACGGUAGGUUUCCAGCUUGUCAGUCAUGCCUGUGGUUUCUUGCCUCCCAUCUCUGGCCCGCAAGCACCACGGAGGAGCCUUUCUUUCUUACCAAUUCCAGCUGUGGGCCCCUGCCCAUCUGUCUCAGCCUCCUUAUACCUGGGAGGGGUAUUUCAGCUGUAGUUCCCUGUCCACCACCCUCGUCCUGGUGUCUGGGCAUCAGCUUUGACCUGGGACAAGCCACUGAGCUUCUCUGCUGUCCACAGAGUACAACCUACACCUUCUCCAAUGAGGAGAGUCCCAUCCUUGGAGAAAGCCCUCUGCCUUCCCAGUUUAUUUCUCCCACAGAUGCCCUCCAUCAACCUUAGGGAAUUCUUAGGUGACUCAUCACUCCUUUAUAGAUGAACUGUGGCUAUUGUCCUGGUUAGUCAUUAUUUAUGUUACAUUUUCUCUGUUCAAAUAACUGUAUGCAUUCUGUCUCCUGAUCGUGCCCUGGCUGAUGGAGAACGGUUGUGGCAAGUAGUCUCAGGAGAUAGACCCACAAAGAUGAGAUUUAAGGAUUGGUUUGGUUGUGUCUUUACACUUGAAUGUAGUGCUGGGUUUUUUGUUUUUGUUUCCUAAUGGGAAAUGAGAAGCUAGUGGUCCAUGGCAUGCAGUGGCCUGCUGGUUAGUCAAGCUGUCACCUGUGGUUGAAUGUGGUGAGGUGCCAACUGAAGACAUGCCUUGGGAGCCCAAGUGGCUCCUGCACAUGACCAUUUGGUAGUAAUGAUGACCACGGGAGCUGUGGUGUGGGAGGACUCUUCUGAGUACAAGCGAGCAAUUACAGAAAAAAAAAAACGACAAACUCUAGUCCUUUAACUAUCAACGCAAGUCAUAUGUUAAGGAUCAGAAAGACCCUAAAAUAUGCUGUUUUUUCUUAUAACCACAGGGCUACUAUUAGGAAAAUCAACAAAAAAAAUGUAUCGGGCAGGUUGCUGAAUUAAAAUGGCAGUUGCAUUCAAA